rfam:Loxodonta africana unplaced genomic scaffold scaffold_137, whole genome shotgun sequence.
CCAGAGGUGGUUCAAUGGUAGAAUUCUCUCCUUCCAUGUGGGAGACCAGGGUUUGAUUCCCAGCCAAUGCA